AAGAACUAUUUCAAAAUGAGGAUUCCCCUGUAUCACUGGUGGUUUUAAAAACAUCGUUGCUGCAUAUGGAAUAUCAUUCCAUUAUAUGGAUGCAGGAAACCACUAACUGCACGGUCCAGCAUUGCUCAGGAGCAUCACUGAGCUGUCCAAUACCAUGGACCCCACGAACACCUUUACAUUCCAAAUGCAGGCGUAUCAACAGCCAUCAACAUUGUUGACUGUAAUUAGGGUUAUGACUGACCGAGAACUGUUGAGAAUUAGGUUUGCGCUUCCGGACUAGUUUUCACCUGAAAGCCUUGGAGCUACAGGCAUUUUGUUCAGGGAUGUACACAGAGUCUAGUCCAAAGCGGAGAUCCUCUACCUCCAGGCACGGCUCACCUGACACUGCUGGUCUGAGUAUCAAGGCUUUGUAGCAUCUUCCCCGGGGCCCUGUCUCUUCCCAUAGGCAGCACAUGUAUGGGGAGUCAAUUUGUUUUUGCAAUUAAGGAUAAGUGGGAAAAAGACCUCCUAGCUUAAUAAGGUGGAAUCUUGGAUAACGGAUGAAGAUUGUGCUAACUGGACGUGGCAACAUCCAUAUAAAAAGCAAGACAGUCAGUCAGCUAGAGAAUCAACCUCUUGUCUG
rnacentral:lncRNA from 1 species